rnacentral:lncRNA from 1 species
CCCGUUAGGGUCUCUAGCCGACUACAAACUCUAGGAAUAUAUGUCCCUGUCUGAUAUAUGUGUAAGUCGGAAAUGCCCCCGGACAUCGGUCAGCUGCUCGUCUCAUCGAUACGCGCCGGCGCCAGUUCAGUCUACGCCCGGCUGCUCUGGCAAGUCGGAAAGCGCAAGAAUGCAUCAUUGUUUAAAUCUUGGUAUUGUUCUGAGUUGCAAGCAAGGAAAGAACGAUGUUUAGUAAGGUCUGUAACCAGACGGGCAUUUGCCUUUGUCUGCGUCAUGAACCGCGGGAUAAGGAUCCGCUUAGUAGAUUACUCGUUCGAU